rnacentral:rRNA from 1 species
GACGAACGCUGGCGGCGUGCUUAACACAUGCCAGUCGAACGGAAAGGCCCUGCUUGCAGGCUACUCGAGUGGCGAACGGGUGAGUAACACGUGGGUGAUCUGCCCUGCACUUCGGGAUAAGCUUGGGAAACUGGGUCUAAUACCGGAUAGGAACCAUCUUUAGUGUGGUGGUUGGAAAGUUUUUUCGGUGUAGGAUGAGCUCGCGGCCUAUCAGCUUGUUGGUGGGGUAAUGGCCUACCAAGGCGGCGACGGGUAGCCGGCCUGAGAGGGUGUACGGCCACAUUGGGACUGAGAUACGGCCCAGACUCCUACGGGAGGCAGCAGUGGGGAAUAUUGCACAAUGGGCGCAAGCCUGAUGCAGCGACGCCGCGUGGGGGAUGAAGGCCUUCGGGUUGUAAACUCCUUUCGCUAGGGACGAAGCUUUUUGUGACGGUACCUAGAUAAGAAGCACCGGCUAACUACGU